ensembl:lncRNA
UAGCACAUUCAUACGUGGCUUCUGCCACAACAGGUCAAUAAAGAUUUAUUUACCAGGCCUGCAGCACAAAAUGUUGGCUGGACUCUGCUGGGAAUCUGCAGAAAAAUGCAGUAAACAGCAAUAGACACUUUGGUGCUUCUCCUUUUGCUGAAAGCAAAGCCUCCAACGGUGGCUAUAAAUCUUUUGCUGCCACUUGCAGAGGGUAUUUACUAAUUACAGCAUCAGCAUGUCUUGUGCCAGUUGUAGGUCAUUGGGAUAGCCUAGAAAAGGAACAGAAAUAGUUUUGCAAUGAAGGCAGGCUCAAAGAACGAAUGUCUCAGCACUGACAUUGCUCUGGCAGCAGCACUAGGAAACUAAGGAUCACAAUGCAGAGAACAAGGAUGUUAAUUCUGCCUAAAUAACAGACCGCGUUUCCUCUACCCGGCUGUUCUGAGGAGCUAAUUACACACAUUCCCGAAUCAAAGAAAUAUAAAACAGUCUGCAAAUGAUUGCAAUGUUGAUGUGUUGGCAGUCCAAACCAUGACAUAUGGUCCUUCAGUUUGCCAUCCUAGAGAACAGGCUCACGAGCAACCCUCAAAACGCAAAAUUGUGUCGUAAAUGAAAGAAAGAGGCUGACUCUAGAAAUGAGCUUGAGGUGACCUCCCUCCUCAGCCCCACAAGAGACAGUCAGCGUUUCACAGAGCUGCUGCCAACCUGGUCACAGGUCCCCAAAUGUACCUCCUGUGAGGGGGAAGGAAGGUGAAUCAUAUCCAGGCAGGAUCGUGGCUCGGUCAAUACCCACACACAAACUUUGCAAAGCAAAGAUUUCGUCACCAACACCGGCUGGACACGUGUGUGCCACCAGCCCCUCUCUGGGACCGCUCUGCAGCUGUGUGCCAGCCCCUGAGCCACGCAGCAGCAGGAUCCAGACCUCCAGCUUCAUCCCUGGACCCCCAUCACGGAGCUGGUGGAGUGAGGGAUGCCUGCAGACACCAGGAGGGGAGCGGGGUGAGGCAUGAGCACGCCGAGGGCUUUCACACGCCUUCACCCACAGCAGUCGGCGCGCGUUCGUCACGCCGGGCCCAGCCAAGGAGGUGAGCAUUGCCCCCUGUGCUACAGGGCUUGGGCCGUGCCCAAAAGGGAGACCUUCCUCUCUCUAUUCCUCCUCCUUCAUGCUGCCCUUGUGUCAGAGACUGGAAAGAGCGAUGCCUCGAGAGGUUUUGGGGUGCAGGUGUGUGGGGCAGGGCAGGUGGGGUCUUGUCCUGGUGGGGCAGUGCCCUGCUCCUCACGCCCCACCCCGCUGGAGCCUGCAUCCCAGCCCUGCAGUCACGGGCACAGCAGAGGCAAUGCUCCACACCCACCCCUGGAGCUCCUGACACAGCUCCUGAGUGGCCAAGUGACCAAAGUCCCACCAGGGAGAAGGGCUCAGGAAGGCCAAGGGGUAUUUAAGGCUGAACACAGGCCAUCAUCUUUAUCCAGACCCUACCUCUCCUCUAUCAUCGCUGGAACCCAGGAGUUGGGAUACAAAGUUCACCUGCACAGAACAGCAUCCCUGCAUCGAGCGGCUCAGAGCACUGAGAUCAAGAUUUUGGACCAGGAGACAGUUCCAACGUUAAGUGGCCUCUGAAAUGAUGCAAACAAGAUCUGGUUGCUCACUGCCUGUGAAUGACCCUGCUGCUGUGCAGCUCCAUCAGCUCUGUGCAGAGCUCAUUUCUGCUGAGCAAUCACAGCUCAGUGCCUGGAAACCCAGAGAUCAUCAAUUUCCAGAACUGCAAAGGUGAGCUUCCUCCAGGAGAUCCACAACUCCUGCAACUGUCAAAUUAGUGGAGUUGUGCUGGGGUAAAAGUGAUGCAAAUGAGGAGAACACUUACUUGGCAAUUUAUGUGCUGUAUCAGGAAAAUGUUAUCACCUCUAACAUAGCAGGGAGAUUCUGUAUUUACUGACACCUUUGCACACAACAGUGAUUUUGAUGAAAUCCUUGGGUAAUGAUUACAUCAGGAAAGUUGCACCACUGAAAAAAAUUACAGCGUUUUCCACCUGUGCUACACAUUAGAUACCAGUGCUGAUGCCUUCCAUGGGGUUAUCCCUGUGUAGAAGAGAAGCAGGAGAGCUCAGAUUUCUGUGUUUCAUCAGGUGAAGCUGGGAGCCACAGCCAGAAGAGCUGGUGAGAGAGAAAGGGAAAAAGCUGCUUAUACCUGAUGUGCUCACAGAAAGAACAGGGUUUGACCAACAGAAGCAACAGGAAAAUGACUUCUCCAUCUCCAGACGUGCAUCAUGUCUAUAACUCACUGACAAUGGUGGAUUUUAACAGGAAGGAGAAGAAUAAAAGCAAGAAUAAACACUUGAACAAGAUAAUCUGAGUUUGUAUACAGCAACCUUUGCAAUACAACUGCUUUUUCCUUAAAGAAAGAUUUUUCUUUAAAUCUUUAGACCAAGGUGCCCCCAUGAGAGCUAGUGCCCCUUUUGACCAAAACUGAAGUGUUGCUGUGAUAAGGAUUAGCCUUAUCAGCCUGGAGACUGUGGAAGAAAGUGCACCAGGCUCAGGGUAGGGGAGGGUGCUGGAAGAGUUUGCAAACAUCUGGGACAUCUGGGCUGCUGAGUCACAUGUGCAGAGAGAGCCUGUGCUGCAGGCAAUGGCCAGAUGGCAAAAGAACACAAGAAAAGCUGUGCCCCAUGUGCCUCUCAUACAGGACAUGGCAUUUGAGAGUGCAGUACAGGAAAUCUGUGUGGAAAGGGGUGGCUGAGUGACUUAACCCUGAUUGAUGGGGAAGGGGUGUCCAAACAGCAGAGGAGUGUGGCUCCCAUGCAGGAUGAAGCACCAGCAGUGAAUCCCACCCACG